UCUACUGCAGGACAUGAGCCAGAAAC
rnacentral:piRNA from 2 species